rnacentral:sRNA from 1 species
UUUCAAGGAACAUCGACUAAAUGCUGCACGUCCUGUGCAAACGUCGAUGGAACCGACAUCGUGUCGG